AGAGUUUGAUUCUGGUUCAGAAAGGAACGCUGGCGGGCGCGUUUAAACCAUCCAAGUUGAAGGGGCAAGUUAUGUUUUUACAAGUAGCGUAGAGCGGCGGGAGUGGUGAGUAACACGUGGGUGACCUCCCUAAAAAGUUGGGAAUAGCCGUUAGAAAUAGCGGGUAAUACCGAAUGUGCUUACAGGAGGAAAGUCUUGUAAGGAAAGGAGCUACGGCUUCGCUUUUAGAUGGGCCCGCGCCCCAUUAGCUAGUUGGUGGAGUAAAAGCCUACCAAGGCGAUGAUGGGUAGCCGGCCUGAGAGGUUUAUCCCCCACACUGGUACUGAGACACGGACCAGACUCCUACGGGAGGCAGCAGUGAGGAAUAUUGGUCAAUGGACGCAAGUCUGAACCAGCCACGUCGCGUGAAGGAAGACGGCCUUACGGGUUGUAAACUUCUUUUGUAAGGGAAUAAAGUGAGUCACGUGUGGCUUUUUGCAUGUACCUUACGAAUAAGGAUCGGCUAACUCCGUGCCAGCAGCCGCGGUAAUACGGAGGAUCCGAGCGUUAUCCGGAUUUAUUGGGUUUAAAGGGUGCUCAGGCGGGCCAUUAAGUCGGCGGUGAAAUUUUGCGGCUCAACCGUAAAAGUGCCUUCGAUACUGGUGGUCUUGAGUGUGGAUGAGGUAGGCGGAAUUUGUGGUGUAGCGGUGAAAUGCAUAGAUAUCACGAGGAACUCCGAUUGCUAAGGCAGCUUACUAAGCCAUAACUGACGCUCAAGCACGAAGGCGUGGGGAUCAAACAGGAUUAGAUACCCUGGUAGUCCACAGCAGUAAACGAUGAUUACUGGCUGUUUGCGAUAUAUGUAAGCGGCUGAGCGAAAGC
rnacentral:rRNA from 1 species